rnacentral:lncRNA from 1 species
CCUUCAUUCCUUUCAUGAUGUCAGUUUUUAAGAAAAGGCUUGAAAGAUGAAGAUUUUUCACUAUCUUCAAGUUGAAGAUUAUAAAGUACAAGAAAAAAAUCUUAGAAAAGCACUUAUGCUUCAAAGGCAACAUAUCUCGCUACUCUCCAUCGAAUAUGUUAAUGUUGGUAUAGAAUAUCAAUGCAUAUGCAUGAGAUUCAAAUUCAAUUUUAUCCUAAGUGGUGGUUGAGGCUUCCAGAUAACUCUCAACUUAAUC